CCUACACUGCCAGACGUCUGCUGUGCUGACAGGCUCUCAUGGCUUCCAAGUUGGCGUAGGUUGGAAGCGGAGACCCUAGUGCAACACCCAUUGUGGCUAAACUGUCCAUGCUGGACCACAUUUUUGCAGAAUUCCUGACCCGUAUAGCGGCAAGGCAGCGGAGAGUACAGUCUCCUCCACAGAGUCACUGAAUGGCGGAGAACCAACCUAUCUAAAUAGUCAUGAGAGCCAUUACUGUGGGGCCUGACUCCAAAC